rfam:Gossypium hirsutum cultivar TM-1 chromosome 5, whole genome shotgun sequence
AUUGGGAAAUGAUGACAGCUUAAUUGCUGGAUAGUAUCUGAGCAAAGCUUUGAAGAUUUUUUUUUUCCUUUUGCACGUCAGUCUGAUUCCAAC